GCAAUUAAAGAGACACUAAAUAGCCACAGUGGCAGUUAAAGAGAGACUAAAGAGACACUGUCACUACACUAAAUAGCCACAGUGGCAGUUAAAGAGAGAGACUAAAGAGACACUGUCACUACAGUGGCAAUUAAAGAGACACUGUCACUACACUAAAUAGCCACAGUGGCAAUUAAAGAGACACUAAAUAGCCACAGUGGCAGUUAAAGAGAGAGACUAAAGAGACACUGUCACUACACUAAAGAGACACUAAAUAGCCACAGUGGCAGUUAAAGAGAGACUAAAGAGACACUGUCACUACACUAAAUAGCCACAGUGGCAGUUAAA
rnacentral:lncRNA from 1 species